UCUCUCUUGCAAGAAACACACACAAGCACACAUCUCUCUCUCAUUUAUUUCACCAUCAAUUAUGGUUGUUCAAGUUAAUUUUAUGCAAGAAUAAGCAUCAUCAUCAUCUCAUCUACAUUAUAUCCACAAUUUGAGAAGCCAUUUGCAAGGAAACUCAUCUUGUAGCUCAAUUUCGGUUUUGACUUUUGGAAGGGGUUUUGGUGGUGGACGCAAAGUAAACGUUGAACGGUUGUAACUCAAUUUUUAUAUCAAUCUUAACUCCUAAUUGCCGAUCAAGGUGAGUUCCGUAGUUCCCUACUUAGUUGAGAUUCGGGCUGGAAAGUGUACAUUAUGUGUUACUUGUUGAUUGAUUGAUGGUUUCAACGACACGUUGGUUGAUUAUGUGCAUGUUGUGUUGAGAAUUGUUAUGCUUAGGAUAGAUGUACAUACAUGGAAGUCGAUUAUGCCUUCAUAGGGUUUGAGAUGUGGUGGGAAGACUACGGGUGACCCUGUAUACAAGCAUCAAGAACCCAUUGAAAGUAUAAUCCUCUUAAGUGUAUGUAUGUAUUGUAUUGGUUGGAUUGGUGAUUUGACAAUUGAUGGAUAUGUGGAGGAAAUGGUUGAAUGUAUGGUUAUGUUUAAGUUAUGCGGGACACACACAAGUUUACUCUCUAUGCGGGACACACGCAAGUUAACUCACUUAUGUGGGACACACGCGAGUUAACUCUUUAGGCGGGACACACGCAGGCAAACACUACUUGUGGUUUUGGGUAUUUUGGUUGACUUACUUAUGAUAGAUAUGAUGCUUGUCAUAUGCAUACGAUGAGUAAAUUAGUAUGGCUUCCACUUGUAUUCAUGAUUUCACAUAUUUACUCUCUAUUAUUGAUAACGAUAUGAUUGAUGUUGUGGUUACUGACAAUGGUUCUCCGUGAACCAUCACUACGAACUCACUAACCUCGUGUUGAUUUGUUUAGUACACUUUUCGAGUAAUCAGGCGAACCAAGGACGUGAUACAUGAUUAUACUUGCUUUUGACUCAGGAUUGGACUUACAUGGAUCAAGGAUUCAUUUGCACUCUUUUGCAUUAUGCGUAGGAUCGAUAGCCAUCGUUAGACUAUUAUUUUGUAAACUUGAUGGUCAUUUGCUCCUUGUGCAUUUUGGAUGAAUAUUUAACUUGUUUGUUGGAUUCACCGAAUUCACUUAAUUCAUUUAGUUUGCCUACGGUAA